rnacentral:lncRNA from 1 species
CACACACAUAUGGCAAUUCUCGCCCUGUUUAGAUAGGUACUCCAGCGGCGGCGGCGGCGGGCAAGCAAAGGUAGUUGCGCAUAUUCGAACAAAUCCCUAGAUUCGCGCCAAACGUUGUGAUUGGCUAAUGCACUUUUUUACGUUUUUGGCGGUAAAGAGAGCUUGGGUGACUCACCGCCAGGGGUGCCCGCGUCAACAGUCACAUGACCCGCCCUCCUUGCCCCUCUCUCGGCUACAGAUCAAGCGUUAUCAGUCUUAUCAGUUAUCAACAGAACUGUACAGAACGGAGGUGUCCUUAUCUUUCCAAAGUAGUGAUGCCGAAAAUUCCGCCGGAAAGUUCGGUGCUCGGCUCUUGAAAUGAACAUCUUUUCUCCGCUGUACUGUUGUAACAUUUGAUACAAUUCUUUGAAUACGUCUUCUUUCCCUGUAUCACAAUUCCAAUGCGAAAUUGCGUGAAGUGCUGAUGUUCUCAUCCACCCGUCUAUAGUUUCUAUUCUUGGAUUUCGUAAAAUAGCAGUUUCCUGAUUUCUUUACUGAUCCCGAUUACACCUUUAUUUUUUAAGCCGUUUAGAAAAUAGAGUGACUCGUUCUGUCUUUCUUUGAAACAUUGUGUAAAGAUAUAUUUUGAGGUUAAGUCUUAUCAGACUGCAGGUUAGCACAUGUUUUAUGUACCCACCCAUCAGAUGCAACAGGUUCAAUUCAGUCACGUUUGCGGAUUUUGAGGAUCUCCCCACCUUGAGCACAUUUAUUUCAAGAAUACUUCUGGUGGCCGAAACGUUACGCAUUUGAUCUCUCGAUUGGCUCAGGAACGCAAUUCGGUUCAAUGAAGUGUCGUCGUUCAACCACGUCGGCGGGUACAAUUGGACGAAAGCGGUGGGAAGAAAGGCAACAGCAUUUACCAAGAAGUACCUGCAAUCGCACCAUGUACCUGCAAGGACUUAUCUUUACUGCAGACACUCCGAUCACCAGGACUUUUUCAAACCUCCUAUCCUGCCCUCCAGAUGUCGCGCCUACAUCUUAUCUUCUCUUGCCAAGCGCCGGAGAAGAAAUGGAAGAAAAAAAGGAAAGGAAAAAGCGAUCCUUGGUACCUACGCAUGCGGAGAGGGUAAAGCCGUUACUACAGCCUAAUGUCGCCAUCCUCAAUGAAACGAAUGCACCGUAUCUAUCUGAAAUAGAUCAGAUCAAAGUCUACGAAAUUUUUGUGAAUUUGGGGACAAGUGAUUCAUCCUCGUCUCCUCCAGAAGAGAUAUUUUGUUGUCCUAUCACACCUAGGCCCUGCAAGAAAUUAUUAGAACGAUACUUUAUUGUGCCUAUCGGGCGUGCUUAUUGCAACUUCUUGAUGAGUCUUGAGUUUCCGUACAAAUUCAAACCUGCGGUUGAUGACGGCAACUUGCAUUUGCUGGAGGGUCUUCUAAGCCGCAAGCUCGAUAUUCCUUGCAUUUUAGGAGAAGGCGUGAGUUUUUCUUUAUUGCACCUGGCCGCCAAGGGAUGCUGCAUUGUGCUUCUCAGAGCAUUGCUGCAACACGGAGCGAACGUUCAUACCAAGACCCCUGUUACAAAAUUCGCCAGUCGUGGAGAGACCCCUCUGCAUUGUGCUGCAAUGGGAGGGUCCUCUGAGAUAGUACAGCUUCUCUGCGAAAGGGGCGCGGACGUAGACGCAAACAAUGCGAAUGGUUUUACCCCACUUUUCUUUGCACAGCACCCUGACGUGGCUAACGUGCUCUUGGAAAAUCACGCAAAUCCUCGCGCGGUUUGCGGCAUACAUCCGCUGAUAAAGGAGAAAAUUUUUUUUACACAUCACGUUACCAGGGAAUUGUUUCGAGUAUUUUUCAAGUAUGGAAUACGGUAUUUUGAUGAUUGCAAGUGGAGAGAUAGAAUCUGGGAGUUUGUUAGUUGGACCUAUGAUAACAACGAGCUAUUUUCAUGUAUGCUUGAAAGCUGUUUUAUUGGUCCAAAUCUUCUAAAGAAAUUAUUUUCGUAUGCCGAGAAAAAUAACGGACUAGAAAGUUGGACAGUCUUAGACUUGCGCAGGUAUGCGUCUAAAAUAGCAGCCCUUUUCCAGAACCCCCAGUUCGACGAAUUUGUGAGUUCUAAGUACACAAGUGAUGCUGGUCGCGCCUUGUCGUUGUUGGCUGGCAGAGACGUCAAUAAUGCACUCCAAGAAGGUAUCGAAGUAAAAUUAGCUUGUGAUGAAGAAGUUGCUCGCAUGAAGUGUCACAUUUUCCUUGCUUCAACAAUGUCAGUUUUUGACCUACUGAUGAAGAACGUACUGGAAAUCGCCCGCCUGCUCAGAAACGAAGCUUUUGCUUCCAUGGUCCACUCCUUCGAGUGGAAUGAAUUUAAUAAUCAAUUUCCCUUGUAUUGUACAAUCUUCAGGUAUCACCUGGAGAAUGGCAGCCAUCGAAAACAGUUUCAGGAAGAAGCCCGGAAAAUUUUAGAUUCCCUAUCGCUCCGCUUUAAGCGGUUGCCCAGUGAAAUUCAGGAGUAUAUACUCGACUUUCUACGCAUGAGAGAUCUUGUCAACAUUAAGAGAAUUCUAGGACUUCCAAGUGACUCUUGA